rnacentral:lncRNA from 1 species
UCGGGUCACUACGGGUUAAUCUCGGGUCAAUAUGCUUAAUCUCAAGUCAAAUCGCACUCCGUGGUCAAACUUCCCAAAAGGUCACCCAUCCUCACACUACUCCAACCCCAGCACGCUUAACGUGUCAAACUUCCCAAAAGGUCACCCAUCCUCACACUCCUCCAGCCCCAGCACGCUUAACUUCUCAGUUCUAUCCAACCCUAGC